rnacentral:rRNA from 1 species
GACGAACGCUGGCGGCGUGCUUAACACAUGCAAGUCGAACGGAAAGGCCCUGCUUUUGUGGGGUGCUCGAGUGGCGAACGGGUGAGUAACACGUGAGUAACCUGCCCUUGACUUUGGGAUAACUUCAGGAAACUGGGGCUAAUACCGGAUAGGAGCUCCUGCUGCAUGGUGGGGGUUGGAAAGUUUCGGCGGUUGGGGAUGGACUCGCGUGUGAUCAGCUUGUUGGUAGGGUAGUGGCUUACCAAGGAUUUGAUGGGUAGCCGGCCUGGGAGGAGGACCAGCCAGAAUGGGAAUGAGACACGGCCCAGACGCCGACGGGAGGCAGGAGUGGGGAACAGUAGACGCGGGGCGAAAGCCUGACCAAGCAGUGCCGCGUGAGUGAGGAAGGCGGUAGGGUUGUAAAGCUCUUUUACACGGGAUGAUAAUGACAGUAACGGGAGGAUAAGCUCCGGCUAACUCCGUG